GCUCAGGAUGAACGCUGGCGGCGUGCCUAAUACAUGCAAGUCGAGCGACUGAUUAGAAGCUUGCUUCUAUGACGUUAGCGGCGGACGGGUGAGUAACACGUGGGCAACCUGCCUGUAAGACUGGGAUAACUUCGGGAAACCGAAGCUAAUACCGGAUAGGAUCUUCUCCUUCAUGGGAGAUGAUUGAAAGAUGGUUUCGGCUAUCACUUACAGAUGGGCCCGCGGUGCAUUAGCUAGUUGGUGAGGUAACGGCUCACCAAGGCAACGAUGCAUAGCCGACCUGAGAGGGUGAUCGGCCACACUGGGACUGAGACACGGCCCAGACUCCUACGGGAGGCAGCAGUAGGGAAUCUUCCGCAAUGGACGAAAGUCUGACGGAGCAACGCCGCGUGAGUGAUGAAGGCUUUCGGGUCGUAAAACUCUGUUGUUAGGGAAGAACAAGUACAAGAGUAACUGCUCGUACCUUGACGGUACCUAACCAGAAAGCCACGGCUAACUACGUGCCAGC
rnacentral:rRNA from 2 species